rnacentral:sRNA from 12 species
AGGACGGCACAGGUUUUCACCGUUUUCUCUGUCCUGGGUUCGGCCGAAGGCGAACGGUGACAGGCCGGGCCACGUCUC